AUCAACUUUGUACAAAAAAAAUUUACAGGAAUUUAAAAAUGACCUGCACAAUGGAUUGAAAGUAAAUGUUUAUAAACCUGCUUAUUCCAGGAAAGUGGCUUCUAAGUGACGAAUCUGAAUUAUGUUGAUUUCACAUAAUCUGAGUUAGGGGGAAACCCAUGGCCAGGACUUCUCACGUUGUUUUCAACAGAUGAAGAGAAACGAAUGAGAAUUUCAGUUUUUAGAGUAAUAAUAGCAAGAACUUUGGAGGUAAUAUCAAUUUAAAUUUACUUAUAACUGAAAAUAUUGACGGAAUUCUUCGUUUUUACUGAUGAUGGAAUUUCUUAUGAAUCGAAACCGAGGCAGAAUCUGCUGUAAUUGAUAUCAGAGCAGCGUAUUCUGCAAAUAAUACCUUAGAGGCCAUUUAAUUGAACAACGGAUUAAUACCACUUCUCAUCUGAGUAGUGAAUUUCAUUUCGGCUCCAGCCGUAAAUUCUAAAUAUGAAAAAUGUCUGGAUUGGCGGAAGUGAUACCGGUAUUCAUAAAUCAGACACGGCCAUUAUGGAUGCAUUUUUUCUUGGAAAAGUGUGCCAUCACCAUCAGUAAUACGGAUUUCUCGGUUCCAUAUACAAACCAUCAAUUUCCUUAAGAUAAUUUAAAGUACCAAAUUCUCAUGAUGUCGGCAUGUUUUAACGCAAGUGAAAACGGCACAAGAUACCAUCUAGAGCCUUCAACCUUGCAAUUAGGAGCCUUUUCAAUGGAACUAUGAAGAUCCAAUUUGUGCAGUUCCGUAUGUAAAAUUCAUCUUGGCUUCGCCUAAACUGAUAUAAGUGACAAAAAAUAAUGAAUACAUAAAUGGUCUGCACAGUUAAGUGUGGUUAUGUAUGUAAUCAACAUUA